GACGAACGCUGGCGGCGUGCUUAACACAUGCAAGUCGAACGGAAAGGCUCCAGCUUGCUGGAGUACUCGAGUGGCGAACGGGUGAGUAACACGUGGGUAAUCUGCCCUGCACUCUGGGAUAAGCCUGGGAAACUGGGUCUAAUACUGGAUAUGACCUUUCUCCUUAUGGGGUUUGGUGGAAAGUUUUUCGGUGUAGGAUGAGCCCGCGGCCUAUCAGCUUGUUGGUGGGGUGAUGGCCUACCAAGGCGAUGACGGGUAGCCGGCCUGAGAGGGUGAUCGGCCACAUUGGGACUGAGAUACGGCCCAGACUCCUACGGGAGGCAGCAGUGGGGAAUAUUGCACAAUGGGCGGAAGCCUGAUGCAGCGACGCCGCGUGAGGGAUGACGGCCUUCGGGUUGUAAACCUCUUUCAGCAGGGACGAAGCGUAAGUGACGGUACCUGCAGAAGAAGCACCGGCUAACUACGUG
rnacentral:rRNA from 1 species